rnacentral:rRNA from 1 species
GACGAAUGCUGGCUGCGUGCCUAACACAUGCAAGUCGAACGGUGAAAGGGAGCUUGCUCCCUGGAUCAGUGGCGAACGGGUGAGUAACACGUGGGCAACCUGCCCCUCACUCUGGGAUAACUCCGGGAAACCGGGGCUAAUACCGGAUACGACCUGGUGCGACAUCGCACCGGGUGGAAAGAACUUCGGUGAGGGAUGGGCCCGCGGCCUAUCAGCUUGUUGGUGGGGUAACGGCCCACCAAGGCGACGACGGGUAGCCGGCCUGAGAGGGCGACCGGCCACACUGGGACUGAGACACGGCCCAGACUCCUACGGGAGGCAGCAGUGGGGAAUAUUGCGCAAUGGGCGAAAGCCUGACGCAGCGACGCAGCGUGAGGGACGAAGGCCUUCGGGUUGUAAACCUCUUUCAGCGGGGACGAAGCGAAAGUGACGGUACCCGCAGAAGAAGCACCGGCUAACUACGUGCCAGCCGCCGCGGUAA